rnacentral:rRNA from 1 species
CCUACGGGGGGCAGCAGUGGGGAAUAUUGGACAAUGGGGGGAACCCUGAUCCAGCCAUGCCGCGUGUGUGAAGAAGGCCCUCGGGUUGUAAAGCACUUUCAGUGAGGAAGAACGCCUGGUGGUUAAUACCCAUCAGGAAAGACAUCACUCACAGAAGAAGCACCGGCUAACUCCGUGCCAGCAGCCGCGGUAAUACGGAGGGUGCGAGCGUUAAUCGGAAUUACUGGGCGUAAAGCGCGCGUAGGUGGCUUGAUAAGCCGGUUGUGAAAGCCCCGGGCUCAACCUGGGAACGGCAUCCGGAACUGGCAAGCUAGAGGGCAGGAGAGGAAGGUAGAAUUCCCGGUGUAGCGGUGAAAUGCGUAGAGAUCGGGAGGAAUACCAGUGGCGAAGGCGGCCUUCUGGACUGACACUGACACUGAGGUGCGAAAGCGUGGGUAGCAAACAGGAUUAGAUACCCUUGUAGUC